rnacentral:lncRNA from 1 species
GAAAUGUCUCCGCAAGUGCAUGAAGGUCCUGAGGGAAACUGAGGUUAGAUGGGAGCUGCGCCCUUCUGUCCCAUGCCCAUUUUUUUUUAUAAGGAACGUUUGUUCUUUUUUGGAGAUUUUUAAAGUUGCCCCAUUGGCUACUUUUACCUCUCUUUGACAAGGUUGGUUUGGCUCUUUAAAGCUGGGUGGGGUUUUGUUUCGUUGGUUGGGUGUUUCUUUUUCUACUAAAACUAUGGUGUAUACUUCCCUCAAGCACCUUAACAGCAAGAAGUUAGUCACUUCCUUCUCCAAGUCCAGCUAUGACUUCUCCAGCUGUCACAGUAGAGCCUGCUGUGCCUCAGUGCACCACAGGGUUUGGCUGGUUGGCCUUGUCCCUGCCUCUGAACAGCCUCUUCAGGGGGAAUGUGCCCUUCCUUCCACAGCCAAGCACUUCCACUUAGGGGAAGAGCCUGACUCCCACCUAGAUCUGACAGAAAAUCAAACCAAGUCCUGCCCUCCUCCCUGUGCAGGAGGCCAGUGAGCGCCUCCAGGUUCACUCUGACCCACACAGUGAGCCACUGUGCAACCUAGGAUGGCCUGCCCCAGUUCCCUCUACAGCCAACCAGCUAUGUUGUGUUUUGCUUGCUUUGGUUGUUUUUAAAAACCAGUUUUACUUCUAUCCACAUUCCCCAAAACAAUGGUCAGUGACAGUUGGGAGGCCUUAAAAAUCAAGACAGCAUCCACUGAGUGCCCCUAGGCUGCCCAGCUUCCUCCGGGAAGAGAACCAUUUGCCAAGAACUGUUUCACCUGCCUGCACCACCUGGUCCCCUCAGAAGUCUGUCACGCUUGGGGAGUUGCUGCUUGUGCUCUUGCUUAGGACCCCAAAGACUGCUGUGGCUGAGUCAACAGCCUUCUGUGGAGUCUCUAAUAUGAGAAGGGUGGUUUUCUAGGGACCAGGUUGUGUCCUGUCCUGUUCCCCAUUCUGAGAAAUCAUGAUUUUAUAUCAAGCUAAAGAAAUUAUUGCUUUGGGGGACAGGUGGAAAUUGACCCCAGCCUUGUGUAAUCCAGUGAACUUUCUGAAAGAUUGUAUCUUCUCUCAAAAAUUAUAAUCAUCUCAGUAGCUGUCGUCCCAUCUGGGUGACAUGUGCACUUUAAAUGACCUCUCAUCAGCUGGCUUCAUCUUUGAGACAAUCAAAUCUGUAACGGUUUCCUUAGAGGGUGGAGAGGGUUAGGAUAAAGACCCGCCAGCAUGACCCCACCAUGCUCUCAUGGAAGUUCCUGCAGGGGGAGCCCUCACCAUGAUUGAUUGGUUGUUUUUUCAGAAGGUACGAACUGAGUCUUUUGAGGGUCACACCACUAGCGCUGCCCUUGGCUAGUUCCGCCCACCCCUUGCUGGUUCUUCCCAGCCUCCCUCACAGCAGUAAGUUCAGGUGUGUUGAUCCCUUCAGGGUAGCAUGAGUACACACAGGCUUAGUAAAGGACAGACCUUGGCCCACAGACCAGAGUUUGCCCAGAGUCCUCCUCUCCAUAUGAGUUUGUAAGGUCUCUUCCUGUCCCUGAGGCUCUGUGACCUCACCCAUUGUUUUUGCCAAGGCUCUUGGUAUUUCAUUGGACUUAAGUUGCCUUUGACCUGUACCCAGAAGACAGUCCUGAAGUGUGGGCUUCCUUGUCUGGACACCUGCAUGGGUGCCCUUAAGUGAAGCAGUGACACACACACACACACACACACACACACACACACAGCAGUGACACACACACACACACACACACACACACCCCGGCCAUCGCUGCAGAGAACAAGGGCACAGUGUGUUCAGUUUCGGCUCCCUGUUUUCUUUCAUGUAGCCUAACAUUCCUAGUUAACUAGACUUUGGAGUCUGCUGCCUGCUGGCCGGGUGGAGAAAUGCAAAGUGUUCUAAUGCUGCCAUAAAGUGAGCAGGGAGGGGUGGCAGAGGCCUUUUCCUGCACUCACGGGAUUUAAUUUGUCAAAUGAUUGACAGGUCCUGAGUUACUUCUCCAUCUCAACUAAGGUAUAAAGUGGGUGGCCCCCACUACCGCAAGUGUGCCCUGUGGAGAAACCAGGCAGGUGCUGCUACUGCCACAGACCCCAGAGGGCCUCUGCAGGAAGCACAGAACCUAUGCCUUAGAACCCUCCCAGCCUCAGCUGCCCUGCCUUGGUUGCCACCUGCUGGGAUGGGCCUAACCCAGCGGGUUCGUCUCAGGUUUGCCCCUGAGGCCUAGGCUGUACAGAAGGUGGGCAGGAUACACCUAUACCUCUGUUCUUGUUGUCUCCAAAUGCUGUAUGAACAUUUCUGUACUAAGCCUAUUAAGUAAAAAGUCGGGUUCAACCCAAGCGCUGUAUAGUAAUUUGUAAUUAUGUAUAAAGUGAAGCAGUUCUGAACUGUAAAGAUUUUCAGUGUGUUUUCUGGAAAUUUGCCACAACAUACUGGCUUUGUAUUUUAUUUAUCAUCCUUUGUAGUUACUGGCUUCCGAGUCUUGUAAAGUCCCCCUCAGACCUUUCAGAAAUAAUAAAUGUCCUUUGAAAUCUUGA